GGGCCCGUGGUCUAGCGGCUAUGACAACACCCUUACAAGGUGUGGGUCGAGGGUUCGAUUCCCUCCGGGCCCA
rnacentral:tRNA from 1 species